rnacentral:rRNA from 1 species
CUACGGGACGCACCAGUGAGGAAUAUUGCACAAUGGGGGGAACCCUGAUGCAGCAACGCCGCGUGGAGGAUGACGCAUUUCGGUGUGUAAACUCCUUUUAUGUGUCAAGAAAAUGACGGUAGCAUAUGAAUAAGCACCGGCUAACUCCGUGCCAGCAGCCGCGGUAAUACGGAGGGUGCAAGCGUUACUCGGAAUCACUGGGCGUAAAGGACGCGUAGGCGGGUUGGGAAGUCAGGUGUGAAAUCCUACAGCUUAACUGUAGAACUGCACCUGAAACUUCUAAUCUAGAGUAUGGGAGGGGGAGAUGGAAUUAGUGGUGUAGGGGUAAAAUCCGUAGAUAUCACUAGGAAUACCUAAAGCGAAGGCGAUCUCCUGGAACAUUACUGACGCUAAGGCGUGAAAGCGUGGGGAGCAAACAGGAUUAGAUACCCUUGUAGUC